UACAGAGGUCCCGAGCGUUGUUCGGAUUCAUUGGGCGUAAAGGGUGCGUAGGCGGCGGGGCAAGUCUGAUGUGAAAUCCCGGGGCUCAACCCCCGGAACUGCAUUGGAUACUGCCUUGCUAGAGUACUGGAGAGGGAACUGGAAUUUACGGUGUAGCAGUGAAAUGCGUAGAGAUCGUAAGGAAGGCCAGUGGCGAAGGCGGCUCACUGGACCAUAACUGACGCUGAUGCACGAAAGCUAGGGGAGCAAACAGG
rnacentral:rRNA from 1 species